GCCAGAAUAACAUGUAAUGUGGAAGGCAAUACGGGGCACUAUAUACUGAAUUCUGAACAGAGCAGCCACUUGUUGUGAUGUCCUAGUCUUAUACCUUAUGUGUAAGCCUGCUCGGUAUCAUUCUAAGCAAGCAUAUAGUGGUUUUUCUUUCUCCCAUGAACAUUUAAUCAUGAUAUUUAAACCAAAUCUUCAUACAUACAUACAUACAUACAUACAUACAUACAUACAUACCACCAAGCAGUUAAAUCAGCUGUGCCUAUGCACAUCUAGAUUGCAGGGUAUGUGGUGAAAAAUAAAAAUUGGCAGAAACCACUGAAAGCAUGCAUCGUAAACUGGUAGGAAAAGGAAUUUAGUGGAUUAGAAAUUUGGAAAAGCAGGAAUACG
rnacentral:lncRNA from 1 species